rnacentral:rRNA from 1 species
UACGAAGGGGGCUAGCGUUGCUCGGAAUCACUGGGCGUAAAGGGUGCGUAGGCGGGUCUUUAAGUCAGGGGUGAAAUCCUGGAGCUCAACUCCAGAACUGCCUUUGAUACUGAGGAUCUUGAGUUCGGGAGAGGUGAGUGGAACUGCGAGUGUAGAGGUGAAAUUCGUAGAUAUUCGCAAGAACACCAGUGGCGAAGGCGGCUCACUGGCCCGAUACUGACGCUGAGGUGCGAAAGCGUGGGGAGCGAACAGG